GAUGAACGCUGGCGGCGUGCCUAAUACAUGCAAGUCGAGCGAACAGAUAAGGAGCUUGCUCCUUUGACGUUAGCGGCGGACGGGUGAGUAACACGUGGGUAACCUACCUAUAAGACUGGGAUAACUUCGGGAAACCGGAGCUAAUACCGGAUAAUAUUUCGAACCGCAUGGUUCGAUAGUGAAAGAUGGUUUUGCUAUCACUUAUAGAUGGACCCGCGCCGUAUUAGCUAGUUGGUAAGGUAACGGCUUACCAAGGCGACGAUACGUAGCCGACCUGAGAGGGUGAUCGGCCACACUGGAACUGAGACACGGUCCAGACUCCUACGGGAGGCAGCAGUAGGGAAUCUUCCGCAAUGGGCGAAAGCCUGACGGAGCAACGCCGCGUGAGUGAUGAAGGUCUUCGGAUCGUAAAACUCUGUUAUUAGGGAAGAACAUACGUGUAAGUAACUGUGCACGUCUUGACGGUACCUAAUCAGAAAGCCACGGCUAACUACGU
rnacentral:rRNA from 1 species